rnacentral:misc_RNA from 1 species
AUAUUUGAGAUCUUGUCUUCACUUGGAAUCUAAGAAAACUAAAAUACGAGGGUAAGUUCAUAUGAGAUUUUCCUGAUUUUUUGGAACUACAUGCUAGACGUCCAUGUUUUUGGGUUUUGAUUAAAACUCUGCGUUUUCGACUGCAUAAAUCAACGGGACAAACAUAAUAAUUAUAGGAGUACUUACGGAACAGCCAUAGCAGAAGGAG